GCAAAGCUGCCAUUUUAUAGUCCAAAACUUAAAUUUCGUGUUUGCAAGUCUCCACCCAUCGAAGGAAACACUAGAAGAGAUAUAAUUUAUUUGAGGGGAGAAAUAUUUGACACGGAAGCAUAGCUCCAUAUCCUUCAAUGGAGGUGUGGUCCUUCAACAAAAAUACCCCCCUCUUGAAACUCUGUUUCACCACACCUCCAUUGAAGGACCUGAAGCUAUGCUUCCUUGUCAUAUUCCUUACCAUCAAAUAAAUGCUCUGUUUUCCUGUGUUUCCUUUGAUGCGUGGAGACUUUUAAAAACGAAAUUUAAGUUUGGGCUAAAAUAAACGGCAGUUUUG